rnacentral:sRNA from 1 species
CGUUACCGACCCGACUGCCUGCCCUAUCCCUGGACACGGCACUAAUCCAAUCGUUUCUGGCUCCCCAGACGU